rnacentral:rRNA from 1 species
AGAGUUUGAUCCUGGCUCAGGAUGAACGCUGGCGGCGUGCCUAAUACAUGCAAGUCGAGCGAACGGACGAGAAGCUUGCUUCUCUGAUGUUAGCGGCGGACGGGUGAGUAACACGUGGAUAACCUACCUAUAAGACUGGGAUAACUUCGGGAAACCGUAGCUAAUACCGGAUAAUAUUUUGAACCGCAUGGUUCAAAAGUGAAAGACGGUCUUGCUGUCACUUAUAGAUGGAUCCGCGCUGCAUUAGCUAGUUGGUAAGGUAACGGCUUACCAAGGCAACGAUGCAUAGCCGACCUGAGAGGGUGAUCGGCCACACUGGAACUGAGACACGGUCCAGACUCCUACGGGAGGCAGCAGUAGGGAAUCUUCCGCAAUGGGCGAAAGCCUGACGGAGCAACGCCGCGUGAGUGAUGAAGGUCUUCGGAUCGUAAAACUCUGUUAUUAGGGAAGAACAUAUGUGUAAGUAACUGUGCACAUCUUGACGGUACCUAAUCAGAAAGCCACGGCUAACUACGUGCCAGCAGCCGCGGUAAUACGUAGGUGGCAAGCGUUAUCCGGAAUUAUUGGGCGUAAAGCGCGCGUAGGCGGUUUUUUAAGUCUGAUGUGAAAGCCCACGGCUCAACCGUGGAGGGUCAUUGGAAACUGGAAAACUUGAGUGCAGAAGAGGAAAGUGGAAUUCCAUGUGUAGCGGUGAAAUGCGCAGAGAUAUGGAGGAACACCAGUGGCGAAGGCGACUUUCUGGUCUGUAACUGACGCUGAUGUGCGAAAGCGUGGGGAUCAAACAGGAUUAGAUACCCUGGUAGUCCACGCCGUAAACGAUGAGUGCUAAGUGUUAGGGGGUUUCCGCCCCUUAGUGCUGCAGCUAACGCAUUAAGCACUCCGCCUGGGGAGUACGACCGCAAGGUUGAAACUCAAAGGAAUUGACGGGGACCCGCACAAGCGGUGGAGCAUGUGGUUUAAUUCGAAGCAACGCGAAGAACCUUACCAAAUCUUGACAUCCUUUGACAACUCUAGAGAUAGAGCCUUCCCCUUCGGGGGACAAAGUGACAGGUGGUGCAUGGUUGUCGUCAGCUCGUGUCGUGAGAUGUUGGGUUAAGUCCCGCAACGAGCGCAACCCUUAAGCUUAGUUGCCAUCAUUAAGUUGGGCACUCUAAGUUGACUGCCGGUGACAAACCGGAGGAAGGUGGGGAUGACGUCAAAUCAUCAUGCCCCUUAUGAUUUGGGCUACACACGUGCUACAAUGGACAAUACAAAGGGCAGCGAAACCGCGAGGUCAAGCAAAUCCCAUAAAGUUGUUCUCAGUUCGGAUUGUAGUCUGCAACUCGACUACAUGAAGCUGGAAUCGCUAGUAAUCGUAGAUCAGCAUGCUACGGUGAAUACGUUCCCGGGUCUUGUACACACCGCCCGUCACACCACGAGAGUUUGUAACACCCGAAGCCGGUGGAGUAACCUUUUAGGAGCUAGCCGUCGAAGGUGGGACAAAUGAUUGGGGUGAAGUCGUAACAAGGUAGCCGUAUCGGAAGGUGCGGCUG